UGUGCACCCGAUUUUUGACGUUUAGGUCGAAAACUGUUUACAAACAACAGAAGCAGCUGCAUCACACAAUAAGGUUCCCCGGAUGUUUUCACGGUGCAAAACGAUAAAUUUUAUCUAAAAAAGUGUUAACAAGACUUCAAGGAUCAUCAAAAUUUCACACUAGCAGCUGGAGGUGCUCAAGGAUCCGGUACCAAUAGAAGCAUCAGCUAAAAAAACAGUGAACAUUUCCUACCUAAACUUCCAGAACGUUCCCACAGCAUUCUGUCAGUUUUUCUGAGUAAGACGCUGUGUUCCAACUUGUGUAGAUUUCAUCAGAUUGGUGGAGUUGAUAGUUACUAACUAAAAUGGCCCACACAUUUGCAGAAGAUCAAUAUGGAAAGAAAGUUGAUCAUUGUUUAACAGACACUAUUCUCAAAUUUGGUGGUGGAUUGGCUUUGGGUAGUAUUUUUUCGGUAUUGUUGUUCAAACGUCGCACUUGGCCAAUCAUUAUAGGAUCUGGGUUCGGCAUUGGUGUAGCAUAUAACAAUUGUGAACGAGCUAUGAAUUCUGGCAAAUAACUUAAGACAUAUCGAAUUACACGACAAUAUGGCUCAGCAAUAGCAAGGCAAUUAUAAACAGUGUUUGUUUCUCUUAAAAUAAUACUGUCAUAUGUCCGAAAUUGUAAAACAUGGUUUUUCAUAAAAAAAUACAUGCUAUGAAUGAUAAGUGAUCCAAACCACUGGAAAAAUGGGCCUAUUUUUUAAUGCUGUAGUCAAAUCUCCGACAACCGUUGUUAGUCACAUCAUCUAAGUUACAUACUUUGCAGUUACAGUUAUAUUGCCUGAUGAGAGAAAUUGUUGAUACUACAGAAGCUUCUGAUGCACUGUCGUAAUGCUUGCAUUCAUAUUGCUAUAGCUGGAUGGACGUUAGGUUACCAUAUCUGAACCAAACUUCUUGUUUCCUAUCCUGUUCCUGUUGAUAUUCAAUUAACACAUGUCCUGUUGUUUUCAACUCCUACUAGAUGAAACAUUAUACCGUUUACAUAUAAAAGGAAACACCGAUGGCUCGGUUGCAAGCACCUGCAUGAUAUUCAUUGCAAUUGCAUUGUUGCAUUGCACAGUCGUACUCGAAAAUGAGUUCUUUUAUCAAUAUAUUUAAUAAAACUGUAAAUAAACCUAGUUCAUCAUACUAAAAGUUUUGCGUUCUACCUAAAUACUGCUAGUACUACUUACUUCCCAAAUAGCCAAAAUUAAAUAAAUCGAACUAUUGUGCUGCUUGAGGGCUGCUUAAGGAAAAAACUUACCACCGCCGAACUUUGAGGCAAGUUAAAAAGAGCGUAGAACUUGAUGGAACUAUGAAUCUUUUCUACUUGCACUUGGAACUCGAUGGAACUACUAUGAGGCUUAUUAACAAACGACGAAAAGUCUUCACCCGAGCUAUGCGGCUUGUUAAGAAGCAUACGGUACUUCAUGGAACUCUAUGCCGAUUUAAGAGUGAAAUAUAAUCCCUCAAGUUGUUUGUUUACAGGAUUAUGUCAAUAGAACAUUGCUAUCUGCCAUUAAGCGUCAUCAGAAGAAAAAAAAAACAUUGUGUGGAAAGAUGUAUUCCAAGUGUGUGGAAAAAUCGGGAAACUUAUAUAGAAAGCGUGCUAAAAUUAUGCGUGAGCUAUUUGAGAACAGAGGCGACUGCGAAAUAAUCGAUAAUACAUGUUCGUCAGUGUAGUAAUUUAGUGUCUGAGACUAUGUUUUUAUAUUCUAUUUCUUCUUUUAGAAUCAACAAACUUUGAUCAUGCAAAUAACAACAAAUAUCCGACAGUUCCAGUUCGGAAGAUGAUGAGCAAAAUGAAACAACGAACAAUCCAAACUAAAAUCUAUAUCGCAUACCGGAAUAUAUACAAAUCAGUUCGUCCAUCCAUUCACUGUCCACACACUCUACCGGCCUCUCUUUGAAGACACUUCUAUACACGUCGUAAAUGUUUUCGUGAUUUUCCUCUACACAUGAUUAGUUUAUUCAACCGAUCCUUUUGUCGUAUAUUCGGCCACAACAAAUUCGUCUUUCCCUUGCUCGUUCCUUGGAUUCAAGGUUCAGGAACCGCUAACAGCUCCUUAUGCUCUCUGCUAUCCACUGUUUCUUCGAUAUUGAACGGCAUCUUUUAAGUUUUCUAAUGAAAUUUCUGUAAGAUAUAGAUAAAUUAUAAAAAUUAAUAAUAACGAAGGUUUUCAAAUAUAUCUGCGAUUAUUAGAUACCUUACACUUUUUGCAUCUACUCGGAUUAAGAGCUGAUCGCGAAAUGAAGAAUUCUAUUUGUACGGUACACCCAAUCUAAUGGUGUUUGGGUGCAAAGGCUUUCCUGACCGGGUUUUUUGUUUACGAUUUCCUCGACUUGCCAAAAUUCUCUACCGUUGUGCCAUUUCAUUCUGUGUUCCUCUUAUAUUCUCACCACUCGCUCCUCUUCUCCCCGACCACCGAUCGACACCAUGUUUGUGCAUGCUAAGACUGGUUCCAAAGGCCCAAUACAGUUUGUUGGAAAUUUUUUGUCGCUGUCACUUCGGUACGCAUGAUACAAAUGUGAUACGUCUUUUGCAGUAGAUAAGCAGCGUCAUAGUUCCUCGAACUUUUAACCGGACCUUAAGCUGCUUUUGUAUAUCGAGCUGUUAAAGAAAGUUUUUAUGCUCUAUUUAUUUGUCAUGCAAGGCAUCUGUUUCGGAAUUUCAAUCUGCUGAUCAUCUUCCGAACUAGAAUUGUCGGAUAAAUAGAUCCGAAUAUCGAUUAUCUCGCAGUCGUACUGGUUCUUAAAUAUUUCACGUACAAUUUUAGCACGCUUUAUAUAAAAUUUUCCCGAUUGUUUACACACUUUCAACACAUCUUUCCACACAAUGUUUUUCUGACGACGCAUGGCAAAUAGCAAUGUACUAUUGACAUAAUCAUGUAAACAAACAACUUGAAGGGCCAUCUUUCAUUCUUAAAUGGGCAUGAAGUUCCAAUAAAGUACCGCAUGCUUUUUAACAAGUCGCAUAGUUCGGAUGAACACUAUGCAUGGUUUAUAAAUAAGCCUCAUAGUUCCCUCGAAUUCCAAGUGCAAGUAGAAAAUCUUCAUAGUUCCAUCAAGUUCCAGGCUCUUUUUAACUUGCCGCAAAGUUCGGCGAUGUCCAGAUCCGCUACACGGAAGGAUGUUCCGUUUCAAACUCCACACUACCACCAACAUUUCAACAUAAAGCAAUAGACCUGGACCAAAUCAUCGAUACAACCUCCACAAUAGACCCGAACAACCACACCGCAAUCUUCAGACACCUACAACCGAGCACGCCCGGGAUAAGGUGAAACAUUUAGGGAGGAAAUGCCUCAGUAAUUUUUUGUGUUUUUUUUGGAAAUUUGUGCUUCGUCAACACUUGCGGUGCUGACAAUACGGCUUCAAGCCAUCAUAAUUAAAAAUAAACAAAUAAAAUAUCUUUUGGUCAUUAAAUUUCUUUAGAAAUUAUAUUUAACGGAAUAAAUUUAUAAUUUUAACGGACCAUCAGACACACACAUUUACACUCAAAGAAAAAAAUACAAACGCUGAGCUCAAAAGAUGUAAAUCGUGCCUCGAAGAGCAUGAUUUUGACAUAAUAUAUAAACCAGAGAAAACAAACGUCGUCGCAGAUACCUUAAUUAGAAUGUGUUUGUCAGUAGCAGCUACAGAACAAGUGAGUAUAAUUUAUUUCUAAUACCUUCUACAGAAGGACCUUUGAAUGCAUUUCGACAUCAGGUCAUAAUAAAAGAAGGUAAAUCGAAUAUAGACAUACAAUGCCGAUACGAAUACGAACGAUACUAAUGAUGAGAAUAUACUUAAUAUUAACUUACUUACUUAUAAUAUUGAAAACAUAUUUCGAUCCAUCAAAGUUAAAUGGACUUAAAACUAGUGAAUCAUUCAAUCAUUCAAUUCAACUAGGGGAAGAUUCAAGAAGUUUAUAAAAAAACACUAUGGUCGAUAAAAUAUUUUAAAGAUUCGUUUCACCCAGAAAAUAUUGAAAGAUGUGGAAUCAAUGUCUACACAAAUGAACAUUAUUAGUAGAGAACAUAUGCGAACCCAUAGAGGUAUCGAAGAAAAUAAACAACAUAUUCUAAGAGAUUAUUAUUAUUUCGACACAAGAAUUGAAGCAAUAUGGAUUGUUUUAACUAUAACACUUUAUUUGCUGGUGUGACGCGUAACUUAUAGAUAUGGUUAGCAACUGAUCUUUUCGAUGGUUAGAACACAACUUUGGUGUAAGAAGGUUAGAAGACAACUCUGAUGUAGGAAGGUUUGAAGACUACUCUGAUGUAAGAAGGUUUGAAGACAACUACUGGCUAAUUAGGGUUGCAAUACCCUUUCCAAAAAAAGGGAAUACCCUUUUUUGAAUAAGAGACAGAAUAACUAGUUACGUACCCUGAUCGAUGCGUACACAAUCCAAUUCUCGCGAAUUGUUUACCAUCGGUCCGGGUAAUCUUUUGUUCUUCCUUGCAUCCGAUCUUCAUAUAUUCCGAUAUUUGCAGAUCGGAUGUUAUGAUAGAGGCAGUGGAACCGAGGAAAGCAAGAAGGACGAUAUGGAACUUUCCAGGCGGUUGGUUGGAUUGAGGGUAUAAAAUGGGAAUGGCAGUAAAAAGAGGAACCUAUGCCGUUAAAGAUAUACAUAAGCCUUAACAAUUAUUUUCCAAAAAUGACUGCAAAAAAAAGGAAAUAUGAUAAAAACUUUAAUUUGCUUAAUGUGUUUAAUUUGCAAUGAAUGCAAAAAUAUCAGGAAACCGAUAAGGAAACCAUUACAGGAUACACCAUUACCCAAAACGCCAUUUGAAAUACAACACAUUGAUAUUCUUUUCUAUGAAAAAUAUCACUUUUUAACAUGUGUUGAUCAAUUUUCGAAAUAUGAGCAGAUUAAAAUGAUGUAAUCUGUAGCAACCAUAGAUGUGUUUCCAACCUUGAAGGAGAUUCCAUUGAAACAUAAAUCUCCCGACAUUAUUGUUAUGGACGGAGAAAAAUCCUUUAACUUUGGGGAAGUAUUAGAUUUUUUCAAUAAAUAUAAAUUCAAACUAUAUUUAGGCUACCGGACAUAGUAAAAUGAACGGAAUCGUAGAGAGAUUUCAUAUUCUAGAAUUAUAUAGGUUAGCAAUACGGCCGGGCCGUUCUUUAAGAAUAAAAAAAAUUAUAUAGGUUGACAAAAACCGAAAAUCCGAAUCAUCGUGACUUCUAUGUGGUACUUAAUAAAUACAAUAACACAAUACAUUCAUGUACAAAAUUCACACCUUACGAAAUUAUAACUCCUUCAUUAAACAGCUUUCCGAUUAUAAAAAUAGUUGCAGACACAUUGAAAAUUAAACAAGAUAAAGAUUUAUUCUAUCACAACAAAAAUAAAAAA